GGCGCUAUAGCCAAGUGGUUACGGCGACAGAUUAGAAUCAUAAUUCAUCUGUUCCUCUUUGAGGGCGCAGGUUCAAAUCCUGCUGGCGUCG